GGCCUCCAGCACCUUCCCCAGAGACCUUCCUGGCCUUGGUGGCCGUGCAGGACAACCUCAGCCAGCCCCUGGUGCAGCCCCUGCUGCAGAUCCACUCGUGCUGUGUGACCCCCUCCGCCAGCCCCGGGGCCCCGGGAGCCCAGUGCUGCCUGUUCCGCAGGCUGCCAUUUGAGUGCAGGCACAUCCAGCUGCUGCAGAGCAGCAGGUCCAGAGCUGCCAGCUUCACCAUCCAGCUGUUCCAGAUGCUGAACCACUCCGUGGCCUACCUGCACUGCGAGCUGGACGUGUGUCUGCACGGAAAGGCGGGAUGUGAGCAGGACUGCUUGGAAAGUGUGGAGCCAGUUCUGCAGCCCAGUGACAGGAACAGCCAUGGAAACCUGCACAACCUCAUCUCAUUUGGCCCAGUUUGGAGGAUGAAGGACAGGUUUCUGUACAAACCUGUGGAAGGUCCUGGCUCUGCUGUGCUGCUGCCCAUCCUGCUGGGCUCCCUCACUGGCUUUGCUGUCCUGGGCAGUGCCUUCAUAAGCCUUUGGCUGCACCACAGGCAGAAAUCCAAACCCCUGCACUACCCCCCCUUUGGAGACACCCAUGGGCUGUGAGCCUGGAGCAGCUCCUGGUCCUGCAGCUCCCACAUCAGCUCUGCAGUGACCAGGGGAGAACAGGUCCUGCCCUGCACAUUGUAGUGCUUCUGUAGAGCUUCUGCUGACCCAGGGAGCAAGAGGGGUCCCACCUCUGCCCGGGGCACGUCUCCCCUUCCCUCCUUUCCCUCUGCAUGAGCGAGCCCACAAACUGCAGAGUAGAGAAGGGCC
rnacentral:lncRNA from 1 species